rnacentral:rRNA from 1 species
UACGAAGGGGGCUAGCGUUGCUCGGAAUUACUGGGCGUAAAGCGCACGUAGGCGGCUUUCUAAGUCGGGGGUGAAAUCCUGGAGCUCAACUCCAGAACUGCCUUCGAUACUGGAGAGCUCGAGUCCGGGAGAGGUGAGUGGAACUGCGAGUGUAGAGGUGAAAUUCGUAGGAUAUUCGCAAGAACACCAGUGGCGAAGGCGGCUCACUGGCCCGGUACUGACGCUGAGGUGCGAAAGCGUGGGGAGCAAACAGG